rnacentral:rRNA from 1 species
UACGAGGGGGGCGAGCGUUGUUCGGAAUUAUUGGGCGUAAAGGGUGCGUAGGCGGUUUGGUAAGUCUUAUGUGAAAUCUAUGGGCUCAACUCAUAGUCUGCAUGAGGAACUGCCGGGCUUGAGUAUGGGAGAGGUGAGUGGAAUUCCUGGUGUAGCGGUGAAAUGCGUAGAUAUCAGGAGGAACACCUGUGGCGAAAGCGGCUCACUGGACCAUAACUGACGCUGAUGCACGAAAGCUAGGGGAGCAAACAGG